rnacentral:lncRNA from 1 species
ACCGGAAACGGAGGAGAGCGCGGGGGAUGUGUUUGGCAUGGGGACGCACUGUUACAGUUGCGCUCCUGGUUGGCUUUGUGUUUCCGCGGUGUUGGUAGAGUCUCGGUGUUUCUACCUCUUAGCACCCUUUCCUGCCACCCUUUGUCCUGUGGAAGCCCGGAGACAUCAGCGGCUGCAAUUUUGCUACUCGCUGCUCGGCAUGGAACGGUCAGAAAUGAGCCCGUGAGUCCUGAGUUGGUGGCAGCUGCAUCUGCUGCUCUGUUUUGACAAGCAAACAAGCCAGAACUGCUCAGGCAGCUCCGUAGCAUGAGGAAGAGUCAGGGGCACAGAGAGAUGGAGAGAGACCUAGUUAGGAAAAACAUAUUCAAGGGGAAGAGAUGUAAUAGUUUUGACGUGACGACAGUUACUAAAGAAGCACCUGAACAGACACAUCACCUUCACUUUGGGAUGUGGAAUUUGCUAAAUAAGCCACAGAAAAUGAACAUCCCUUCAGAAUGGGUUUGAAGAGCUGAUCCAGUGGAUUAAAGAGGGGAAACUGGGAGUUUCCAAUUAACAAUGAAGCAGGAGCUGACUAAGGCUUUGGAACAGAAACCAGAUGAUGCACAAUAUUAUUGUCAAAGAGCUUAUUGUCACAUUCUUCUUGGGAGUUACUAUGUUGCUGUUGCCGACACAAAGAAGUCUUAUGAACUCAAUCCAAAUAAUUCCACUGCUAUGCUGAGAAAAGGGGGCUGGCGGCAUGGAGUCUUGCUCUGUCACCCAUCCUCGAGUGCAAUGGCACCAUCUUAGUUCACUGCAGCCUUGAAUUCCAGGGCUCGAGCCAUCCUUCUGCCUCUGCCUCCUGAGUAGGUGGGACUACAGGCAUGUGCCACCAUACUGAGCUAAUUUGUUAAACACUUUUUUUGUAGAGACGAGGUCUUGCUACGUUUCCCAGACUGGUCUCUGAACUCCCGGCCUCAAGUGAUCCUACUGCCUUGGCCUCCCAAAGUACUGGCAUAAUAGACAUGAGCCACUGCACCUGGCUCCUAAGUUCUUUUCUUGAAUAAUAUCUUUCUUUUUUUUUAUUUUUUGAGGUGGAGUCUCACCCUGUUGCCCAGGCUGGAGUGCAAUGGCGUGAUCUCGGCUCACUGCAACUUCUACCUCCCGGGUUCAAGUGAUUCUCCUGCCUCAGCCUCCUGAAUAGCUAGGAUUACAGGCGUGCGCUACCACGCCUGGCUAAUUUUUUGUGUCUUUAGUAGAGAUGCGGUUUCACCAUGUUGGCCAGGCUUGUCUCGAACUCUUGACCUCGUGAUCCACCCGCCUUGGCCUCCCAAAGUGUUGGGAUUACAGGCGUGAGCCACCACGCCUGGCCAAGUAAUAUCUUAAUAUCAUGCCAUUGACAUUUAUCCUCUAAUUAUUUCAGAGGUGGCCUUCAGAAGAAGGCCUCUUUGGUAAAAUUGCUAUUGAGGAUAUUUCACUGAAAAACAAAUUUAUCUUUAAAUUUAAAUCCAGGAAAAAUUUAAACUUUCAGGCUUCUAUUUUUAUCAGACAGGGUAAAAAAUUUAUAACUCAGAAUAUUACCCUUUCCCCUCUUUGUGUGAUGGAUUGCUUGGUUUUAGUUACUGAUUAUUUAAAAUAAUAAGUUAUUCAAAUCUAGGAUUUUGAUACAAUAGUUCUUCUCUAGAAUAUAGUGUGUGUGUGAGAGUAUAUUUAAAAUUUUUAUUAAGGCCCAUGGGGCAGCCUUUGAGGAAACCAGACCUUGGGGAUCGCCAGGCAGGAUUAGUGGCAGGAAUUGAGAGAACAGAGCCCCACAGAGCUCCUCGGGGACCGUCCCCCAGUCACAAGAGUAUCUCAAGGAAGUAGUCUUCUCCCACAUCCCCCAAAGAUAACUACCAGAGGGUCAGUUCUCUGAGCCCUUCUCAGUGUAGAAAAGACAAGUGUCAAAGCUUCCCCACUCACCCUGAGUUUGCCUUCUAUGACAAUACGUCGUUUGGCCUCACUGAGGCUGAGCAGAGGAUGCUGGACCUCCCAGGAUAUUUUGGGUCAAAUGAAGAGGAUGAAACCACAAGUACACUUAGCGUGGAGAAGCUGGUGAUCUAGACUGAGAAUCAGCCUGAGCUUAACACAGCUGGGGUCUGCUACUCGCGUUUUGUAGACUUUUGUGUAACUAUUUGUACCGUAGGACAGAAUGUGAGGAGGAAGUAACACACACAGAGGAGGAUGUGUGUGUGUGCAUGUGUUUGAAUUCACAAGGAAGAAAUUAUUUAUCUUGAGCUUUUUCCUUUGUUAUUCAGUUUUUAUUGGUUUAUUACUAAUAAUGAUAAUAAAAUGUAAACAAGAGCAAA